CCUAGCGUGAGGGGACGCGAGGAUCGAGCCGCCGCCGCUUCUGCCGGUGCGUCGGGCCCUGACAAGCAGCCGCGAGAGAGGCUCUUCGGAGGCGGCCCUGCAGCCCAGCGAUUGUCGCCUGGGGUCUCACGAGGGAUUGGCCGCCGCGCACCCCAGCCCUGUCUGGACGUGCCUCCCCUUUCUCUCUCCCUCUCGCUCUCCCCUUGUGCGGAGGCAGCCAGCGGCUUUGGACGGGCGAGCCUGGGGGCCGCCGGCCACGAAGGCUUCGCCGGGACCCAUUCACCAUG
rnacentral:other from 1 species